GUAUUAGGUUGGUGCAAAAGUAAUUGCAGUUUUUGCUGUUACUUUCAAUGGCAAAAACUGCAAUUA
ensembl:miRNA